AAAUGCAAAAAUGUUUUGAGUUGGCAACAAAAAAUUACCCCUUAGUAUUUGAAUGUGUAACAGUGCUUUUUGCCCCCCAAAUUUUAUUUUUUCCAGCUUUACUGAGAUAGAAGUGAUAUACAACAGUGUAUAAGUUUGUGAUGACUUGACACACUCACAUAUUGCAAAACGAUUACCACGUUCCCAGUUUACAGAAGAUCUGAAUAUCUGCUCUGUGUUCUAACAUGUCCCACUCCAGAAGCCAUGAGUGGUGGUGUCAUUAAAAUGGACAGAACUCCAAGAAAGCCUCAUAAAACAGAACAGCCUUCAUCAUGUAAAUAAACUUCCAUGAAAAUGGACAUUUCUCAAGA